rnacentral:antisense_RNA from 1 species
CGUAGCGGUAGGACGGGAGAGGGACACCUUCGGGUGUGCUAGUUUGAGUUAUUACUAGUCUGCGAACCCUCUUCCGUUCUGCCACCAUA